rnacentral:rRNA from 1 species
CACCGCGGUUAAACGAGAGGCCCUAGUUGAUAACACCACGGCGUAAAGGGUGGUUAAGGAGAGAAAAUAAUAAAGCCAAAUGGCCCUUUGGCCGUCAUACGCUUCUAGGUGUCCGAAGCCCAAUAAAACGAAAGUAGCUUUAACAAUAUUCACCUGACCCCACGAAAGCUGAGGAA